UCCCUAUUAUUAAAAAUAGUUGUAUAUAUCUAGAUUAUUAGUAAAUAUAUUUAUGAGAUUAAAAUAAUUUGGCGGUAUUUUAGUCUAUUCAGAGGAAUCUGUUCUAUAAUCGAUAAUCCACGUUGAAUCUUACUUAUUUUAUUUAAUUUGUAUAUCGUUGUCAUUAGAAUAUUUUAUAAGAAAAAUAAUUUUCUUUAAUUGAUAUAAAUUUAUAUGUCAAAUCAAGGUGCAGUUUAUAUUUAAGUAGAAAUGGAUUACAAUAAAAUAAAAUUAUAUGGAUUAUUAAUUGAAAGAUUAUAUUGAAAGUGGAUUUGAUAGUAAAUUUA
rnacentral:rRNA from 1 species